GACGAACGCUGGCGGCGUGCCUAACACAUGCAAGUGGAGCGACGAACCAGGCUUCGGCCUGGGGCAGAGCCGCGAACGGGUGAGUAGCACGUGGGUAACCUGCCCUGAUGAUUGGGACAACCCGAGGAAACUCGGGCUAAUACCAAAUGUGCCCUCCGACCAUAAGGUCGCUGGGGAAAGGAAGCUUCGGCCUCCGCAUCGGGAUGGGCCCGCGGCCCAUUAGCUUGUUGGUGAGGAAUGGCUCACCAAGGCAACGAUGGGUAGCUGGUCUGAGAGGACGAUCAGCCACACUGGGACUGAGACACGGCCCAGACUCCUACGGAGGCAGCAGUGGGGAAUCUUGCGCAAUGCGCGAAAGCGUGACGCAGCAACGCCGCGUGGGGGAAGAAGGCCU
rnacentral:rRNA from 1 species